rnacentral:lncRNA from 1 species
CCCAGUUGCAUGUAAACUUGGAAACCUUUUGUACUCUUCAGUUCUUGGGUGUUAGGUUCCCUGAAUAUGUCAAAGAGAUCAAUUUUGAGUUGUGCAGAUCAAUUUAUUUUUUGUCUUCUUGCUCUGUAGUUCCCUGAGAGUAAUGUGUUAAACCCCCCACCAGGAUUAUGGAUUUUUUUUCUCUUUAGUUCUGUCAAAUUUAAUUUUACAUAUUUUAAGAUACAUUUUUGGAUUCAUACAUAUUUAAAACUUCUAAUCUUCCUGUUUCAUUGACUUUUAUCAUUAUAAAAUGUUCCUUUUUAUCUCUGGUCAUGCUGUUUGCCCUAAAGCCUUCUUUGUCCAAUAUUAGCAUAACUCAGUCAACUUCCUUUUGGUUCAUGUCUACUCUAUAUGUUUUGCCAUUUUAUUUUUAUUCUUGAAUUUUCGGCCUCACUUUCUGAAAGUGGUACCUGGGAAUAGACUGAGACAUAGUUGCAUCCAGAGCUAUUGGGGAGUACACUCAACAUGUAUACCUCAAAAGAAGUGAUUAAUACAAGACUGUUCAGGGAAUUCCCAUUGUGGCACAGUGGAAAUGAAUCCAAUUAGGAACCAUGAGGUUGUGGGUUCGAUCCCUGGCUUCCCUCAGCGGGUUAAGGAUCCGGGGUUGCCGUGAGCUGUGGUGUAGGGCGCAGACAUGGCUCGUAUCCUGCGUUGCUGUGACUGUGGCAUAGGCUGGUAGCUGUAGCUCCUAUUUGACCCCUAGCCUGGGUGCAACCCUAAAAAGAAAAAAAGCAAAAAAGCAACGAAGAACAAGAUCGAUCAGAGGAAAAAGCAAACUACAAUAUUGUUGCAACUGAGGCCUCAGACAAUGCUGCAAGGGGCUGUGUACCUAGACUGACACUUUCAAGUUGCCCAAGUUAAGGUGGCCAGAGGUCAUCUCCAGGAAGAAGGUGGCGUAACCUUCCUUCAGUUUUAGUCCCAGUACAGGAUGCAGCAGUGGGCCUAUCUUCCCACCUGUUGGGAAUGGGUACAAAUUCCACGAAAGGGGGAACUGGGUGGAGCAAAAUAGUAUCCACUGUGAUCAUUGAAAGUCUACCUUUUCCAAGGAAUCUGUUAUUGGACUUGGCCCUUUUUAUUCAGCUUUAAAUAUGUACUUUUAAUUGGAGUAAUUCCAUUCAGAGUUAAUAUAAUUUACUGCUACAUUUAGGUUUAAGCUUAUCAUUAACUUUGGUUAAGAAACAAAAGAAAUUCAGUUCACCUAUCGUAUAUUCUUUCUUCCUUCCUUUUUGCCUUCAUUUUAAGAAUUAUUCUCUCUGUGAAGUGAUGAAUGUAUUAACUAACCUUACUUGGGUAAUCCUUUCCAAAUCAUUAUAUUGUACAUCUAGUCUAGGAAU